rnacentral:tRNA from 1 species
GGGGAUAUAGCUCAGUGGUAGAGUUCUUGCCUCACAUGCAUAAGGCCCUGGGUUUGAUCCCCGGCACCA